GGAGAGAUGGCUGAGUGGUUGAUA
rnacentral:ncRNA from 34 species